UUUAAAAUCGGUUAUUUCAGAACCGAUUUUGUAUAGAACCGAUUUUGUAUACUACAUACAAAAUCGGUUCUGAAAUAACCAAUUUUAAA
rnacentral:miRNA from 1 species